GCUGGGGGAAUAAGGAGAGGGCAAGUCUGGUGUCAGCCGCCGCGGUAAUACCAGCUCUCCGAGUGGUGUGGACGUUUAUUGGGCCUAAAGCAUCCGUAGCUGGCUGAACAAGUCCCCUGUUAAACCCACCGAUUUAAUCGUUGGUCUGCGGGGGAUACUGCUCGGCUAGGGGACGAGAGAGGCAGACGGUAUUCCCGGGGUGGGGGUGAAAUCCUAUAAUCCCGAGAAGACCACCAGUGGCGAAGGCUGUCUGCUAGAACGCGCCCGACGGUGAGGGAUGAAAGCUGGGGGAGCGAACCGGAUUAGAUACCCGGGUAGUCCCAGCUGUAAACGAUGCAGACUAGGUGUUUGGACGGCCACGUGCCGUUCUAGUGCCGCAGGGAAGCUGUUAAGUCUGCCGCCUGGGGAGUACGAUCGCAAGAUUGAAACUUAAAGGAAUUGGCGGGGGAGCACCACAAGGGGUGAAGCUUGCGGUUUAAUUGGAGUCAACGCCGGAAAUCUCACCGGGAGCGACAGCAGUGUGAAGGCCAGAUUAAAGGUCUUGCCAGACGAGCUGAGAGGUAGUGCAUGGCC
rnacentral:rRNA from 1 species